rnacentral:lncRNA from 1 species
UGAUGUCAGGUUUUGCAAGUCCAUAGGUCUUUGUUGCUUCUCAUGGCUAGUUAUUGGCAGUUGUUGCAGUUUUCUAGAGCUUUUAUAUUUAUUCACAUGGUUUUCUAACUUAGGCAUACUGAUACUCCAAAAUCUGUUCAACUCCAGUUUCUUCUGAGGAAAAUGUGGAGGAGAAAAUCUUUGAAAUUGGAAGCGAAAACAUUAUGAAUUCUGUUAAUGAGACUUGAAGAUAGAUAUUCUGGUUGUUUAUUUUCCAGUUUGCGGAGAACUGUUUAAAUUAAAUAUUGAUUCCUAAUUUAAGAAAUGACACCCAUAAUUUCUUGAUUUGGCGUCUCCAUAUUAAGCCCUUGUUUGGGCUCCAUUAUUUCCAAAAUACAUAUUUCCAAAAUUCAUUUUCAAUCACACAUUUUUCAAUAAAAUAAUAUUACACAUAAACCCGGAAAUUUCUCCUUAUCUUUUAACUUACAUUCUCCAAAAAAUCACUAUUUCAAAAUACAUUUUCUUCCAAAAUCGCAUUAAUAUGGAGCCAAACCGUGGCUGACAUAACCAUGAAAACAAAUCUACUGCUUUGACUCUUCAAUUCUUGAACUUCCAAAAGUAAUUGAAAAAUUAAUAAUUUCUUUCUAAUAAACUAAGAUCCUGUUAGUCCCCAUUUCUUAAAACUCAAUUUUCCCAAAAUCAUUUCAAUCACAUAUUUCAUGGUAUCCACAACUUCUAUCAACUUUUCAACCACACAUAUCACCAACUUUUAUAGAAAUCUACCAAAAUUUUAUUUUUAUCAGAACAAAACAGGGGCUAUAUCUUAUUUCACUCUUUCACUUACAUCGAUUAAUUCCUUUCUACAUCAUUACCUUCUCCAUGUAAGAAACUAGCUCGAGUUUGCUUACUGGUGAC